GGGCGACGAGCUUCUAAUUCAAGUUGAAAUAGAAGAUCAGCUAUUUCUCCCUAGAAGAUGGCAGCAGUGCUAAAGAUGCCAUGCACAGAGAGCUCCAGCACAUUGUAUCUAAAAUGGUCGUACAGAAGUACAGCUGGGUUUCUGAGAACAAAUUAGCAUUUAAAAGCCUGGCAAAUGUGCUGCUGUUUCUCCUUGGUGCCAGACGUACCCCGUUCAACACAAC